rnacentral:rRNA from 1 species
UACGUAGGGUGCAAGCGUUGUCCGGAAUUAUUGGGCGUAAAGAGCUCGUAGGCGGUCUGUCACGUCGGCUGUGAAAACCCGGGGCUCAACCCCGGGCCUGCAGUCGAUACGGGCAGACUAGAGUGCGGUAGGGGAGACUGGAAUUCCUGGUGUAGCGGCGAAAUGCGCAGAUAUCAGGAGGAACACCGAUGGCGAAGGCAGGUCUCUGGGCCACUACUGACGCUGAGAAGCGAAAGCAUGGGGAGCGAACAGG